ACUAUGGAGAGUUUGAUCCUGGCUCAGGAUGAACGCUAGCGGCAGGCUUAAUACAUGCAAGUCGAACGGUAACAGGUUUAAAUUUCGGUUUGAAUGCUGACGAGUGGCGCACGGGUGAGUAACGCGUACACAAUCUGCCUUCAAGUGGGGAAUACCCUAUGGAAACGUAGAAUAAUACCCCAUGGUAUUCUAUAACCGCAUGGCUAUAGAAUUAAAGCUCCGGCGCUUGAAGAUGAGUGUGCGUCCUAUUAGCUAGAUGGUAAGGUAACGGCUUACCAUGGCAACGAUAGGUAGGGGGCGUGAGAGCGUGAUCCCCCACACGGGUACUGAGACACGGACCCGACUCCUACGGGAGGCAGCAGUAAGGAAUAUUGGACAAUGGGCGAAAGCCUGAUCCAGCCAUGCCGCGUGCAGGAAGAAUGCCCUAUGGGUUGUAAACUGCUUUUAUAUGGGAAGAUAUGCUCCGACGUGUCGGGGUUUGACGGUACCAUAUGAAUAAGCGCUCGCUAACUCCGUGCCAGCAGCCGCGGUAAUACGGAGGGUGCAAGCG
rnacentral:rRNA from 1 species